UACGUAGGGAGCAAGCGUUGUUCGGAUUUACUGGGCGUAAAGGGCGCGUAGGCGGCGCGACAAGUCACUUGUGAAAUCUCCGGGCUUAACUCGGAACGGUCAAGUGAAACUGUCAUGCUAGAGUGCAGAAGGGGUAAUCGGAAUUCUUGGUGUAGCGGUGAAAUGCGUAGAUAUCAAGAGGAACACCUGAGGUGAAGACGGGUUGCUGGGCUGACACUGACGCUGAGGCGCGAAAGCCAGGGGAGCAAACGGG
rnacentral:rRNA from 1 species